UACGUAUGGUGCAAGCGUUAUCCGGAUUUACUGGGUGUAAAGGGAGCGCAGGCGGCACGGCAAGCCUGAUGUGAAAGCCCGCGGCCCAACCGCGGGACUGCAUUGGGAACUACCGGGCUGGAGUGCCGGAGAGGCAGGCGGAAUUCCUAGUGUAGCGGUGAAAUGCGUAGAUAUUAGGAGGAACACCAGUGGCGAAGGCGGCCUACUGGACGGUGACUGACGCUGAGGCUCGAAAGCGUGGGUAGCAAACAGG
rnacentral:rRNA from 1 species